rnacentral:rRNA from 1 species
AUUCCAGCUCCAAUAGCGUAUAUUUAAGUUGUUGCAGUUAAAAAGCUCGUAGUUGGAUUUUGGGUCGGGGGCACCGGUCCGCCGUUCCGGUGUGCACUGGUGGCCCCUUCCUUUCUGCCGGGGACGUGCGUCGCACUUAAUUGGGUGGCGUUCGGAGUCGGCGUUGUUACUUUGAAAAAAUUAGAGUGUUCAAAGCAAGCCAUCGCUCUGAAUACAUCAGCAUGGAAUAACAUGAUAGGACUCCGGUCUUAUUUUGUUGGUUUCCGAGACUGGAGUAAUGAUUAAGAGGGACAGUCGGGGGCAUCCGUAUUUCAUUGUCAGAGGUGAAAUUCUUGGAUUUAUGAAAGACGAACUUCUGCGAAAGCAUUUGCCAAGGAUGUUUUCAUCG